UACGGAGGGUGCAAGCGUUAAUCGGAAUUACUGGGCGUAAAGCGUGCGCAGGCGGCUUUGCAAGACAGAUGUGAAAUCCCCGGGCUCAACCUGGGAACUGCAUUUGUGACUGCAUGGCUGGAGUGCGGCAGAGGGGGAUGGAAUUCCGCGUGUAGCAGUGAAAUGCGUAGAUAUGCGGAGGAACACCGAUGGCGAAGGCAAUCCCCUGGGCCUGCACUGACGCUCAUGCACGAAAGCGU
rnacentral:rRNA from 1 species